UGCAGGGGAGGGUCGCGGGUGGUGCACGGUGUGCGGGCAGCAGCGGCAUCGGAUCUCAUUGGUCGCAGCUCGGAGUAUGGCGAUGGGCGCGCUGCACUGUAUCGGCGCGCUGCUGCUGGUGGCGGCGGCGAGCGUCGCAGGGCAGUCCCGGCGCAUGCCAUUCCAGCAGCUCCUGCACAAAACCAUCACCGGUGUGUCCCCGGCCGGCGCCAACGUGGUGUUCUCGCCG